UCCAUAGAAACAGAUCAUAAAGACCAUUUGUGAAGUUUUGGGAGACAUAAAACAUAAAAGUACAGACAGGUGUACUCUUAUUCUUGCUCUCAAUGCUAAAUAAUUAUCAAAUGUUUUAUACUUAGAUAAUCCAUUGACCAUGCUUGAAGUAUCAUGUUGAUGGAGGUUUGAUAAGGGUAAAUACUUAUGACACAUUAUUCAAGAUUAUGAAUAUAUCCAUUGACCAUAAAAGGUUUUUCUUUAUCUUUUGUCUUGUUUUAACAUCUUUUAAAAAUUACCUGAAACUGAACUUUAAAUUGUGUCUGUGUAAAAAAUCUUGAAGGUUCCCAGUAAUUCCAUAUCUAAAACAAAAGCAUCCUGCUCCUAAAUUUUAAUAACUUGUGAAUCAGACUAUUAACUGUCAUCACACUGGCAGACUAUAAUCUAAUUAGAGCUGGGUGGUUUUUUAAUCUGUUCUUUUUUUUAAAUAGACAUAAAGUGGCAGAUACAUGGUUUGCAAAUACUUUCUUCCAACAAUGUUCUUGACAGUGGCAGACUCUUCCUGUGUGCAUUUGUGGUGUGCGUGUGUGCACAGGUUGGGUAAGUGCUUGUAGAAGCCAUAGACAGACAUUGGGAGCCUUCCUUGAUCACUCUCUCAUGUUUUUGAGCCAGGGUUUUGCAAUGAGGGUGGAACUUGUUGUUUGAGACAGGUUGGCUAAGCAGUGCCAAGGACCACCUUCUUUGUCUGUCAGUGCAGUAUUACAGACAGGAGCCACUCUCCCAGAUGACUCUUGGGUACUGUCACCCAAGUCUUCAUGCUUACUGGCUAGCCAUUUCUCCCACCUCUUGGUGAACCUGUUAUUUUCAAAUAAUUAUAAAUUCAUGUACAGUUACCCAAAGUAAGAGAGUUCCUGUGGGCCCCACUUCUCCAGUUUUCCAAUGGCCGUAUGCAAAACUAGAGUAAUCUCUCCCUAGGUGAUGCUUUUGAGACUCACCAUGGCUCGGUGCCUCUUGUUGCUCAUCUGCAGCCACUCCCUUUGCUCCCCAUCUGUUCUUCAUCUCAGCAGUCUUCUCCUGUUAGCCGUGCUCUAUAAAUGAGGGAUGGUAGGAUUCUUUCUGGGACUGGAGUUUUAAGCUCAGCGGAAACGCUCUGGAGAGUUUCAGGGUGUUGCAGGUAUCAAUCAUUUAUUUGUCUUUACCGCUCAUUGGCCCUUCCGUGGCAUAGAUGUCCCAGUUACUUUGGGUAACUGCACAUGAAUUUAUAAGUAUUUGAAAAUUAAAGAUUCAUCGAGGGGUGGGAGAAAUGGCUUAGCUAGUAACAUAGUAGUAGACAUCUUUCUCUUUUCUCCGUCUCCUGUUUCUUUCCCAUUCCCUUUCCUCACCUCUUGUGAGUAAAGGUAUUACAAACAUUUGUACAGAGGUUUUUGUGUGAGUAUAAACUUUCAUUUCUCUGGGUAGGUGCUAAAGAGUGAAUGAAGUUUUUGGAUCAUGUGGUAUUUCUUUUAAUUAGAUAAAUGUUAUCCCCUUUCCUAGUUUCCCCAUGGUAUUUUUUUAAAAAGAGGAAAUGUCUAAGGUGUUUCCAGAGCUCAAGUACUAUUCUCACUCAGCAGUGCUACACAGUGCUUCCGCUUACCCAGGUUCCACAUUUGAUAGCUUUACUCGUUUUAAGCCUUUCUGGUCAGUGUGUAGUCAUCUUGCUAUAGUUUUAACAUACAUUUCCUUGUUGGCUAAAGAUGCUGAGGCCAUCUCCAUUUCUGUUUAACAGAUUGUCUCUUUGGUGAGAUGUCAGUGUCUGUCCAUAUUCCAAUUGGAUGAUAUCCAGUAUUGAAUUUUGACAGUUCAGUUAUAUGUUUCAGAUACAUGGUCUACAAAUAACUUUCUUCCAUUUUAUCAAUUUUCUUGUUUCACGUUGCAGAACAAAACAAAAAUUUCGUUGUGAUACAGGACAGUUUAUUCUUCACCUGUGGAUCAUGUUUCUGGUGUCCAUCAACUCUGCCUUGUCUUCAUCCUGGAUAUUUUCUGCACCACCCCCAACCUUCUUCUCAAUAACUUCUCCAGGAUAAAUGUCUGUAACAACACCUCAGCAGACACGCUUAGAUGUCUGCUGAGUAAGAGGCCCAGGCACAGCACCCAGUAUUUGCUUGUUAGGUGGUGCAGUUUGGCAGGAUUUCAGAGUCUCAGUGCUUUGUGUAUUGCCCUUCUUUUGGUUAGAAAGGCAACACUCUUUGUGUGUGCCCACUGGUCUUUCUGAGUGCUUGAGCUGCCAGGUCUGGUUACAAGACAAGGAAAGUCAGAGGACUCACCACACUGUCCAGAGGAACACUACUUAGUUCGCUUCCUCAUCUCUACCUUGAAGAGUCUGUGGCUAGAGAUGUAGCCACAUUAAUGGUUAUAUCUUAAUGGUAGGUUUUGUCUUAUUUUACUUACACACACACACACACACACACACACACACACACACACACACACACACACACAGUAAAAACUGUGGAUGCAC
rnacentral:lncRNA from 1 species